AUGGGACUGGUGAGCCUGCGAGUGAGGGAGCGUGGUGACCUUGUGCACAGGAAGCCUUGCUCACAGCAUGCAGUGAGAGAGGGGACACGCAGACAGGCCUGUGUGUCAGGCAGGAGGUCUCUGAAAACCAGAUUUGCCAUCUGGCCUGGAAAAAGGCUUGCCUGGGAGAUUGAAAACAGAGACAAAAGUUGGCAGGCAAGAAAGUCGCUGACUGGUGGAGGCUGUCUUCAGGCUGGGGGCUGGAUGAACUGCGGAGACUUCUUGUUCAUCGUAGAGGAGGUGAGGGCAGGAGGCACGAGCUGACCUGUGGCACGCGUGAGGAGGCAGAAGUGAGCUGAUGCGAGUGUGAAAGCAUGCAGGGUUGUUGUCUCCAUGUCAUGGCUCAUGGGGAAGCACCUUUCCUAACGCUGUCAGGGUUGUCUGUUGCAUUUAUUGCCCUUAGUAGCUAACAGGCUCAUUGGUACAAGACCAGCUGCUCCUGUGGUGUCAAAACGCUGCAUGUGGACGCUUGUGAGAGAGAAGGAUGGGAGAGGCAGAGUGCAGUUCCCUGGGCUCUCUGUAAUUUUUGAAAUCCCACUUCAAUCACUUAAAGGUGUCUAUGUGUGUAAGGAGAUAUAUGACUGAAAACUAUAGAACUAGGCAUAUAACUAACUGAACUAGAUAAGCUAAUUUUUCUGUAACCAGAGAUAAUCUGGGGCUGCAGUCGCAUUGUGCCAGCUUUUUCUCCACUUCCCCUGUGCACCCUCCUGCUGCAGCUGAUGAGCACUGAUCCCUUCGCAUGGCACUGCACGUUUCUUCCUUCUCCUUCCCUUGCAGUGCCUUUGGGCAGUAUCAGUCAGCCUUUAGUGUGGAUUAGGAGUGUUUUUUGUCUGCCGUGGUAGGAUCUUGGCAACUCUCGGUUCUAGUCUGAGUUCCUUAGGCUGAACAUGGUCGUUUAUAUAUUGAAUUUGAAGCUGGCAUAAAGCAUUUGCCCUCCCUGGGUUCAGUUCUGCUGCGCUCUUGUCUUCAGAUCUAACUGAUCAGGAGAUCAGGAGAAGUGGUGGCAAGGUGGGAAAGCUGGCAGUUAACUGGGUCUGUCCUUGCAACUGUUCCUGUCCUGAGCCAAAAGUAUUUUUAAAAAAUGCACAUGGAAUUGUGUGAUUGAGGGAUAAGUAGAAAAUCGUGUUUAAUGGUAAGGGUUUGGGAGCAAGAAUGCCUUUUCUCAGGUGUAUGUGCAGCACCUUGCACAAAUCUUGUCUUUAAAGGAUGCUGCAUAUAAAGGUGAUGGCAUAAUCUUGCCAUUUUAUUUUGUCUGCACCUACAG
rnacentral:lncRNA from 1 species